rnacentral:rRNA from 1 species
CCUACGGGCGGCUGCAGUGAGGAAUAUUGGUCAAUGGCCGGAAGGCUGAACCAGCCAUGCCGCGUGAAGGUCAGUGCCCUAUGGGCGUUAAACUUCUUUUGUGCGGGAGCAAUAAUGGUCACGUGUGGCCAGACGAGAGUACCGUACGAAUAAGCAUCGGCUAACUCCGUGCCAGCAGCCGCGGUAAUACGGGGGAUGCAAGCGUUAGCCGGAUUUAUUGGGUUUAAAGGGUGCGUAGGCUGUGAGGUAAGUCAGCGGUGAAAUGCCCCCGCUCAACGGGGUGAAGUGCCAUUGAUACUGGCUUGCUUGAAUGCGGAUGACGUGGGAGGAAUGUGUGGUGUAGCGGUGAAAUGCAUAGAUAUCACACAGAACACCGAUUGCGAAGGCAUCUCACGAAUCCGCGAUUGACGCUGAUGCACGAAAGCGUGGGUAUCAAACAGGAUUAGAUACCCCUGUAGUC